rnacentral:tRNA from 1 species
GAGGGGGUAGUUUAAGAAGAAUGUUUCGUUGAAGCUGAAGAGGUGGGUGAGAUCCUCCCCUUU